CCUACGGGCGGCAGCAGUGGGGAAUAUUGCACAAUGGGCGAAAGCCUGAUGCAGCAACGCCGCGUGAAUGAAGACUGUUCUCGGAUUGUAAACUUCUGUUCUUAGUGAAGUAUAAUGACGGUAACUAAGGAGCAAGCCACGACUAACUACGUGCCAGCAGCCGAGGUAAGACGGAGGGGGCAAGCGUUGUCCGGAAUUACUGGGUGUAAAGGGAGCGUAGGCGGGAAGCCAAGUCAGCUGUGAAAACUUCGGGCUUAACCUGUAGACUGCAGUUGAAACUGGCUUUCUUGAGUGCAGUAGAGGUUGGCGGAAUUCCGGGUGUAGCGGUGAAAUGCUUAGAUAUUCGGAGGAACACCGGUGGCGAAGGCGGCCAACUGGGCUUUAACUGACGCUGAGGCUCGAAAGUGUGGGGAGCAAACAGGAUUAGAUACCCUAGUAGUC
rnacentral:rRNA from 1 species